GACGAACGCUGGCGGCGCGCUUAACACAUGCAAGUCGAACGGAAAGGCCUGCUUUCCCUUGUGGAUUGCGGGUACUCGAGUGGCGAACGGGUGAGUAACACGUGAGUGAUCUGCCCCCAACUUGGGUAUAAGCCUGGGAAACUGGGUCUAAUUCCCGAUAGGACUGCAGGGUGGUGCCUGUGGUGGAAAACGAUUUUCUAGUGGUUGGGGAUGAGCUCGCGGCCUAUCAGCUUGUUGGUGGGGUAAUGGCCUACCAAGGCGGCGACGGGUAGCCGGCCUGAGAGGAGGGACGGCCACAUUGGGACUGAGAUACGGCCCAGACGCCUACGGGAGGCAGCAGUGGGGAAUAUAUCACAAUGGGCGGAAGCCUGAUGCAGCGACGCCGCGUGGGGGAUGACGGCCUUCGGGUUGUAAACUCCUUUCGACCGCGAGGAAGCCACCUGGUUGGAAGGGUGGUGACGGUAGUGGUAGAAGAAGCACCGGCUAACUACGUG
rnacentral:rRNA from 1 species